GGCGAACGGGUGAGUAAUGUAUCGGAACGUACCAUUCAGUGAAAGAUAACGUAACGAAAGUGACGCUAAUACCGCAUAUACUGUGAGCAAGAAAGCAGGGGAUCGCAAGACCUUGCGCUGAUUGAGCGGCCGAUAUCAGAUGAGCUAGUUGGUGAGGUAAAGGCUCACCAAGGCGACGAUCUGUAGCGGGUCUGAGAGGAUGAUCCGCCACACUGGAACUGAGACACGGUCCAGACUCCUACGGGAGGCAGCAGUGGGGAAUUUUGGACAAUGGGGGCAACCCUGAUCUAGCCAUGCCGCGUGAGUGAAGAAGGCCUUCGGGUUGUAAAGCUCUUUCGGCCGGGAAAAAAUCGCAUAGGUUAAUACCCUGUGUGGAUGAUGGUACCGGAAUAAGAAGCACCGGCUAACUACGUGCCAGCAGCCGCGGUAAUACGUAGGGUGCGAGCGUNAAUCGGAAUUACUGGGCGUAAAGCGUGCGCAGGCGGUUUGAUAAGACAGGCGUGAAAUCCCCGGGCUCAACCUGGGAACUGCGUGUGUGACUGUCUCACUAGAGUACGGCAGAGGGGGGUGGA
rnacentral:rRNA from 1 species